GCCCCGUAAUCGGAAUGAGUACACUUUAAAUCCUUUAACAAGGAUCCAUUGGAGGGCAAGUCUGGUGCCAGCAGCCGCGGUAAUUCCAGCUCCAAUAGCGUAUAUUAAAGUUGUUGCGGUUAAAAAGCUCGUAGUUGGUUCUGCGUGCCGCGCUGUCGGUUCGCCGCCUGUCGGUGUAACUGGCAUGUCGCGGCAUGUCCUGUCGGUGGUGAACGGAGUCCACAAUGCUGCAUAGGCUUUAUUGCCCAUGUUAGCGUCGUGUGCACUUCCGUUGGCCGAUCUCUCCUACUUCGGUGCUCUUAAACGAGUGUCGAGGUAGGCCGACACGUUCACUUUGAACAAAUUAGAGUGCUUAAAGCAGGCUGAAAUAUCUGCCUGAAUAGUGGUGCAUGGAAUGAUAAAACAGGACCUCGGUUCUAUUUUGUUGGUUUUAGGAAUAUGAGGUAAUGAUCAAUGUGGACUGGCGGGGGCAUUCGUAUUGCGACGUUAGAGGUGAAAUUCUUGGAUCGUCGCAAGACGCACUAGAGCGAAAGCAUUUGCCAAGUAUGUCUUAAUUGAUCAAGAACGAAAGUUAGAGGUUCGAAGGCGAUCAGAUACCGCCCUAGUUCUAACCAUAAACGAUGCCAGCCAGCGAUCCGCCGAUGUUCCUUUAAUGACUCGGCGGGGAGCUUCCACCCGGGAAACCAAAGCUUUUGGGUUCCGGGGGAAGUAUGGUUGCAAAGCUGAAACUUAAAGGA
rnacentral:rRNA from 1 species